rnacentral:rRNA from 1 species
GCAUAUCAAUAAGCGGAGGAAAAGAAACCAACAGGGAUUGCCCUAGUAACGGCGAAGUGAAGCGGCAACAGCUCAAAUUUGAAAUCUGGCGUCUUCGGCGUCCGAGUUGUAAUUUGCAGAGGGCGCUUUGGCAUUGGCAGCGGUCCAAGUUCCUUGGAACAGGACGUCACAGAGGGUGAGAAUCCCGUACGUGGUCGCUAGCCUUUACCGUGUAAAGCCCCUUCGACGAGUCGAGUUGUUUGGGAAUGCAGCUCUAAAUGGGAGGUAAAUUUCUUCUAAAGCUAAAUACUGGCCAGAGACCGAUAGCGCACAAGUAGAGUGAUCGAAAGAUGAAAAGCACUUUGGAAAGAGAGUUAAAAAGCACGUGAAAUUGUUGAAAGGGAAGCGCUUGCAGCCAGACUUGCCUGUAGUUGCUCAUCCGGGUUUCUACCCGGUGCACUCUUCUAUGGGCAGGCCAGCAUCAGUUUGGGCGGUUGGAUAAAGGUCUCUGUCAUGUACCUCUCUUCGGGGAGAACUUAUAGGGGAGACGUCAUGCAACCAGCCUGGACUGAGGUCCGCGCAUCUGCUAGGAUGCUGGCGUAAUGGCUGUAAGCGGCCCGUCUUGAAACACGGACCAAGGAGUCUAACAUCUAUGCGAGUGUUUGGGUGUCAAGCCCGAGCGCGUAAUGAAAGUGAACGGAGGUGGGAACCUUUCGGGGUGCACCAUCGACCGAUCCUGAUGUCUUCGGAUGGAUUUGAGUAAGAGCAUAGCUGUUGGGACCCGAAAGAUGGUGAACUAUGCUUGAAUAGGGUGAAGCCAGAGGAAACUCUGGUGGAGGCUCGCAGCGGUUCUGACGUGCAAAUCGAUCGUCAAAUUUGGGCAUAGGGGCGAAAGACUAAUCGAACUAUCUAGUAGCUGGGUUCCUGCCGAA